GAUGAACGCUAGCGGCAGGCCUAAUACAUGCAAGUCGGACGGGAUUGGAGAGCUUGCUUUCCAUGAGAGUGGCGCACGGGUGCGUAAGACGUAUGUAACCUACCUUGGUCAGGGGGAUAGCCUCGCGAAAGAGAGAUUAAGACCGCAUAACAUUGCGAUGUGGCAUCACAUUGUAAUCAAAUAUUUAUAGGAACAAGAUGGGCAUGCGGAACAUUAGCUAGUUGGUAAGGUAACGGCUUACCAAGGCUACGAUGUUUAGGGGAUCUGAGAGGAUGACCCCCCACACUGGUACUGAGACACGGACCGGACUCCUACGGGAGGCAGCAGUAAGGAAUAUUGGUCAAUGGGCGGAAGCCUGAACCAGCCAUGCCGCGUGCAGGAAGGCGGCCCUAUGGGUUGUAAACUGCUUUUGCAGGGGAAUAAACCUUGGUACGUGUACCAAGCUGAAUGUACUCUGAGAAUAAGGAUCGGCUAACUCCGUGCCAGCCGCCGCCGUAA
rnacentral:rRNA from 1 species